CGGGGUGAGUAACGCGUGGAUAACCUGCCUCACACAGGGGGAUAACAGUUAGAAAUGACUGCUAAUACCGCAUAAGCGCACGGUACCGCAUGGUACAGUGUGAAAAACUCCGGUGGUGUGAGAUGGAUCCGCGUCUGAUUAGGUAGUUGGUGAGGUAAUGGCCCACCAAGCCGACGAUCAGUAGCCGACCUGAGAGGGUGACCGGCCACAUUGGGACUGAGACACGGCCCAA
rnacentral:rRNA from 1 species